rnacentral:rRNA from 1 species
CGUGUCGUGAGAUGUUGGGUUAAGUCCGUAACCGAGCGCAACCCUUCGUCCUUAGUUACCUAGCACGUUAUGUGGGCGACUCUAAGGAGACUGCCGGUGCAAACCGGAGGAAGGUGGGGAUGACGUCAAGUCAUCAUGGCCCUUACGGCCUGGGCUACACACGUGCUACAAUGGUCGGUACAAAGGGUUGCCAAGCCGCGAGGUGGAGCUAAUCCCAUAAAACCGAUCGUAGUCCGGAUCGCAGUCUGCAACUCGACUGCGUGAAGUCGGAAUCGCUAGUAAUCGUGAAUCAGAAUGUCACGGUGAAUACGUUCCCGGGCCUU